AUUGAACGCUGGCGGUAGGCCUAACACAUGCAAGUCGAACGGCAGCACAGUAAGAGCUUGCUCUUACGGGUGGCGAGUGGCGGACGGGUGAUGAAUACAUCGGAAUCUACUUUUUCUUGGGUGAGAACGUAGGGAAACUUACGCUAAUACCGCAUACGACCUACGGGUGAAAGCAGGGGAUCUUCGGACCUUGCGCGAUUGAAUGAGCCGAUGUCGGAUUAGCUAGUUGGCGGGGUAAAGGCCCACCAAGGCGACGAUCCGUAGCUGGUCUGAGAGGAUGAUCAGCCACACUGGAACUGAGACACGGUCCAGACUCCUACGGGAGGCAGCAGUGGGGAAUAUUGGACAAUGGGCGAAAGCCUGAUCCAGCCAUACCGCGUGGAUGAAGAAGGCCUUCGGGUUGUAAAGCACUUUUGUUGGGAAAGAAAAGCAGCAGGUUAAUACCCUGCUGUUCUGACGGUACCAAAAGAAUAAGCACCGGCUAACUUCGUG
rnacentral:rRNA from 1 species